rnacentral:rRNA from 1 species
UAGUCGAGCGGACAGAAGGGAGCUUGCUCCCGGAUGUUAGCGGCGGACGGGUGAGUAACACGUGGGUAACCUGCCUGUAAGACUGGGAUAACUCCGGGAAACCGGAGCUAAUACCGGAUAGUUCCUUGAACCGCAUGGUUCAAGGAUGAAAGACGGUUUCGGCUGUCACUUACAGAUGGACCCGCGGCGCAUUAGCUAGUUGGUGGGGUAAUGGCUCACCAAGGCGACGAUGCGUAGCCGACCUGAGAGGGUGAUCGGCCACACUGGGACUGAGACACGGCCCAGACUCCUACGGGAGGCAGCAGUAGGGAAUCUUCCGCAAUGGACGAAAGUCUGACGGAGCAACGCCGCGUGAGUGAUGAAGGUUUUCGGAUCGUAAAGCUCUGUUGUUAGGGAAGAACAAGUGCGAGAGUAACUGCUCGCACCUUGACGGUACCUAACCAGAAAGCCACGGCUAACUACGUGCCAGCAGCCGCGGUAAUACGUAGGUGGCAAGCGUUGUCCGGAAUUAUUGGGCGUAAAGGGCUCGCAGGCGGUUUCUUAAGUCUGAUGUGAAAGCCCCCGGCUCAACCGGGGAGGGUCAUUGGAAACUGGGAAACUUGAGUGCAGAAGAGGAGAGUGGAAUUCCACGUGUAGCGGUGAAAUGCGUAUAGAUGUGGAGGAACACCGGUGGCGAAAGCGACUCUCUGGUCUGUAACUGACGCUGAGGAGCGAAAUCGUGGGGAGCGAACACGAUUUCAUACCCUGG